AUUGAACGCUGGCGGCAGGCCUAACACAUGCAAGUCGAGCGAGCGGCGGACGGGUGAGUAAUGUCUGGGAAACUGCCUGAUGGAGGGGGAUAACUCCUGGAAACGGUAGCUAAUACCGCAUACCAUCAGAUGUGCCCAGAGGGGAUUAGCUAGUAGGUGGGGUAAUGGCUCACCGAGGCGACGCUCCCUAGCUGGUCUGAGAGGAUGACCAGCCACACGGGAACUGGGACACGGUCCAGACUCCUACGGGAGGCAGAAGGGGGGAUAAUUGCACAAUGGGCGAAAGCCUGAUGCAGCCAUGCCGCGUGUGGGAAGAGGGCUUUCGGGUUGUAAAUCACUUUCAGCGGGGAGGCGUUACCCGCAGAAGAAGCACCGGCUAACUCCGUGCCAGCAGCCGCGGUAAUU
rnacentral:rRNA from 1 species